UAUAUUUAGGUGUGAUAGCAUUAAAGAUUUUGAUUCUUUAGGAUUUAAUUAAAAAUUAAAAAAUAUAA
rnacentral:tRNA from 1 species